CUCAGCAUCACACACGUUACUGGUCAGGUGACUGCAGGCCUACACAGGCGCCUCAGCAUCACACACGUUACUGGUCAGGUGACAGCAGGCCUACACAGGCGCCUCAGCAUCACACAUGUUACUGGUCAGGUGACAGCAGGCCUACACAGGCGCCUCAGCAUCACACACGUUACUGGUCAGGUGACAGCAGGCCUACACAGGCGCCUCAGCAUCACACACGUUACUGGUCAGGUGACAGCAGGCCUACACAGGCGCCUCAGCAUCACACACGUUACUGGUCAGGUGACAGCAGGC